rnacentral:tRNA from 1 species
GCUCACGUGGCGGAAUUGGUAGACGCGCAUGAUUCAGGUUCAUGUACUUAACCGUGUGGAGGUUCGAGUCCUCUCGUGAGCA